rnacentral:rRNA from 1 species
UACGUAGGGGGCAAGCGUUAUCCGGAUUUACUGGGUGUAAAGGGAGCGUAGACGGCCAGACAAGUCUGAAGUGAAAAUCCAGCGCUUAACGUUGGAAGUGCUUUGGAAACUGCCGGGCUAGAGUGCAGGAGGGGCAGGCGGAAUUCCUAGUGUAGCGGUGAAAUGCGUAGAUAUUAGGAGGAACACCAGUGGCGAAGGCGGCCUGCUGGACUGCAACUGACGUUGAGGCCCGAAAGCGUGGGGAGCAAACAGG